UCUGGUUUGGCACCGGCAGUCUCCCUAGAGUUCCCGGCAUCACCCGCUGGCAACUAAAGACGAGGGUUGCGCUCGUUGCGGGACUUAACCCAGCAUCUCACGACACGAGCUGACGACAACCAUGCAGCACCUGUCACCGGUCCAGCCGAACUGAAGGGAUCCAUCUCUGGAACCCGCGACCGGGAUGUCAAACGCUGGUAAGGUUCUGCGCGUUGCUUCGAAUUAAACCACAUGCUCCACCGCUUGUGCAGGCCCCCGUCAAUUCCUUUGAGUUUUAGCCUUGCGGCCGUACUCCCCAGGCGGGGCACUUAAUGCGUUAGCUGCGGCACAGGGGGAGUCGACACCCCCUACACCUAGUGCCCAUCGUUUACGGCGUGGACUAC
rnacentral:misc_RNA from 1 species